UCCGGUUUGACACCGGCAGUCUCCCUAGAGUUCCCGGCUUUACCCGCUGGUAACUAGGGACAAGGGUUGCGCUCGUUGCGGGACUUAACCCAACAUCUCACGGCACGAGCUGACGACAGCCAUGCAGCACCUUACUGACGGUGUAUUGCUACAAAAUCUGCUUUCACAGACGAUCCAUCAGCAUUCUAGCCCAGGUAAGGUUCCUCGCGUAUCAUCGAAUUAAACCACAUGCUCCACCGCUUGUGCAGACCCCCGUCAAUUCCUUUGAGUUUCAUUCUUGCGAACGUACUUCCCAGGUGGAUUACUUAAUGCUUUCGCUUAUAUAGACGCUGAUCGGUCAUAUCGCCAACGUCCAGUAAUCAUCGUUUAGGGCGUGGACUAC
rnacentral:misc_RNA from 1 species